rnacentral:rRNA from 1 species
GGGUUGUGAGGUUAAGCGACUAAGCGUACACGGUGGAUGCCCUGGCAGUCAGAGGCGAUGAAGGACGUGCUAAUCUGCGAUAAGCGUCGGUAAGGUGAUAUGAACCGUUAUAACCGGCGAUUUCCGAAUGGGGAAACCCAGUGUGAUUCGUCACACUAUCAUUAACUGAAUCCAUAGGUUAAUGAGGCGAACCGGGGGAACUGAAACAUCUAAGUACCCCGAGGAAAAGAAAUCAACCGAGAUUCCCCCAGUAGCGGCGAGCGAACGGGGAGCAGCCCAGAGCCUGAAUCAGUGUGUGUGUUAGUGGAAGCGUCUGGAAAGGCGUGCGAUACAGGGUGACAGCCCCGUACACAAAAAUGCACAUGCUGUGAGCUCGAUGAGUAGGGCGGGACACGUGGUAUCCUGUCUGAAUAUGGGGGGACCAUCCUCCAAGGCUAAAUACUCCUGACUGACCGAUAGUGAACCAGUACCGUGAGGGAAAGGCGAAAAGAACCCCGGCGAGGGGAGUGAAAAAGAACCUGAAACCGUGUACGUACAAGCAGUGGGAGCACAGAGAUCUGUGUGACUGCGUACCUUUUGUAUAAUGGGUCAGCGACUUAUAUUCUGUAGCAAGGUUAACCGAAUAGGGGAGCCGAAGGGAAACCGAGUCUUAACUGGGCGUUAAGUUGCAGGGUAUAGACCCGAAACCCGGUGAUCUAGCCAUGGGCAGGUUGAAGGUUGGGUAACACUAACUGGAGGACCGAACCGACUAAUGUUGAAAAAUUAGCGGAUGACUUGUGGCUGGGGGUGAAAGGCCAAUCAAACCGGGAGAUAGCUGGUUCUCCCCGAAAGCUAUUUAGGUAGCGCCUCGUGAAUUCAUCUCCGGGGGUAGAGCACUGUUUCGGCAAGGGGGUCAUCCCGACUUACCAACCCGAUGCAAACUGCGAAUACCGGAGAAUGUUAUCACGGGAGACACACGGCGGGUGCUAACGUCCGUCGUGAAGAGGGAAACAACCCAGACCGCCAGCUAAGGUCCCAAAGUCAUGGUUAAGUGGGAAACGAUGUGGGAAGGCCCAGACAGCCAGGAUGUUGGCUUAGAAGCAGCCAUCAUUUAAAGAAAGCGUAAUAGCUCACUGGUCGAGUCGGCCUGCGCGGAAGAUGUAACGGGGCUAAACCAUGCACCGAAGCUGCGGCAGCGACGCUUAUGCGUUGUUGGGUAGGGGAGCGUUCUGUAAGCCUGCGAAGGUGUGCUGUGAGGCAUGCUGGAGGUAUCAGAAGUGCGAAUGCUGACAUAAGUAACGAUAAAGCGGGUGAAAAGCCCGCUCGCCGGAAGACCAAGGGUUCCUGUCCAACGUUAAUCGGGGCAGGGUGAGUCGACCCCUAAGGCGAGGCCGAAAGGCGUAGUCGAUGGGAAACAGGUUAAUAUUCCUGUACUUGGUGUUACUGCGAAGGGGGGACGGAGAAGGCUAUGUUGGCCGGGCGACGGUUGUCCCGGUUUAAGCGUGUAGGCUGGUUUUCCAGGCAAAUCCGGAAAAUCAAGGCUGAGGCGUGAUGACGAGGCACUACGGUGCUGAAGCAACAAAUGCCCUGCUUCCAGGAAAAGCCUCUAAGCAUCAGGUAACAUCAAAUCGUACCCCAAACCGACACAGGUGGUCAGGUAGAGAAUACCAAGGCGCUUGAGAGAACUCGGGUGAAGGAACUAGGCAAAAUGGUGCCGUAACUUCGGGAGAAGGCACGCUGAUAUGUAGGUGAAGUCCCUCGCGGAUGGAGCUGAAAUCAGUCGAAGAUACCAGCUGGCUGCAACUGUUUAUUAAAAACACAGCACUGUGCAAACACGAAAGUGGACGUAUACGGUGUGACGCCUGCCCGGUGCCGGAAGGUUAAUUGAUGGGGUUAGCGCAAGCGAAGCUCUUGAUCGAAGCCCCGGUAAACGGCGGCCGUAACUAUAACGGUCCUAAGGUAGCGAAAUUCCUUGUCGGGUAAGUUCCGACCUGCACGAAUGGCGUAAUGAUGGCCAGGCUGUCUCCACCCGAGACUCAGUGAAAUUGAACUCGCUGUGAAGAUGCAGUGUACCCGCGGCAAGACGGAAAGACCCCGUGAACCUUUACUAUAGCUUGACACUGAACAUUGAGCCUUGAUGUGUAGGAUAGGUGGGAGGCUUUGAAGUGUGGACGCCAGUCUGCAUGGAGCCGACCUUGAAAUACCACCCUUUAAUGUUUGAUGUUCUAACGUUGACCCGUAAUCCGGGUUGCGGACAGUGUCUGGUGGGUAGUUUGACUGGGGCGGUCUCCUCCUAAAGAGUAACGGAGGAGCACGAAGGUUGGCUAAUCCUGGUCGGACAUCAGGAGGUUAGUGCAAUGGCAUAAGCCAGCUUGACUGCGAGCGUGACGGCGCGAGCAGGUGCGAAAGCAGGUCAUAGUGAUCCGGUGGUUCUGAAUGGAAGGGCCAUCGCUCAACGGAUAAAAGGUACUCCGGGGAUAACAGGCUGAUACCGCCCAAGAGUUCAUAUCGACGGCGGUGUUUGGCACCUCGAUGUCGGCUCAUCACAUCCUGGGGCUGAAGUAGGUCCCAAGGGUAUGGCUGUUCGCCAUUUAAAGUGGUACGCGAGCUGGGUUUAGAACGUCGUGAGACAGUUCGGUCCCUAUCUGCCGUGGGCGCUGGAGAACUGAGGGGGGCUGCUCCUAGUACGAGAGGACCGGAGUGGACGCAUCACUGGUGUUCGGGUUGUCAUGCCAAUGGCACUGCCCGGUAGCUAAAUGCGGAAGAGAUAAGUGCUGAAAGCAUCUAAGCACGAAACUUGCCCCGAGAUGAGUUCUCCCUGACUCCUUGAGAGUCCUGAAGGAACGUUGAAGACGACGACGUUGAUAGGCCGGGUGUGUAAGCGCAGCGAUGCGUUGAGCUAACCGGUACUAAUGAACCGUGAGGCUUAACCUUACAACGCCGAAGGUGUUU